UGACCUCAAAUCAGGUAGGAGUACCCGCUGAACUUAA
rnacentral:rRNA from 1 species